CGCACUUGUCUAUUUUCUUCUUUAUGUUCCUUUCCAUGUUGAAAGAGUUGUGGGGCCAGGACUAGAAAAGCAUUUCCUGGGGACAUUCCAGGGCUUCCUGACAGGCUGCUUCAUUGGAGGGCCUCCGGCGGGGGUGGUUACCGGGCAGGGUAAGGAACAAGGUUGAGAAUUCAGAGCCAUCAAGCUCCCUGGAAGGCAGAUGUGGAAGCAGAGGAGGAUCUGAAGGCCAUGGCAGCGAGAACCCUGGGGUUCCAAGCAUGGAUGAAGAAAAGAGGAAUAUUAUCAGCAUGGAAUCAACAAAGGGUGUCUUUCCAGUGGGCUCUGGUCAAACCCUGGAAACCGAGCCAGCUCUCCCAGGACCUUAGCAAAACAUCCAGUGUUUGUCUUUUCUUCUGCAGGCUAUUAAAGUUUGGAGUUGUCUCCUU